GAUGCUGGAAUGGGAAACUCCAGGGUUCAGUAGGGGGAUGUGGAUGGGGUGUUCUGGCAAUCAUUAUGCUAAUAUGGGUGCUAUACAGAAAUACCUAAUACAUCUCACUAGGGUACUGAUAAAGAGUAUGGCUCUCAAGCCAGACCAACUGAGUUAGAAUCCCUUCUCCACCAAUUACCAGCUCUAUGACUGAGCAGGUUACUUGAUUUCUCUGACAUUUUCCUCAGAUAUAAAAUGAAGAUAAUAUUGGUGCACUUCAUUGAGAACUAACAUGAGUUAAUAAUUGUGAAGGCACACCUGGACAGAGGAAAUGCUCAAGCAUGGACAUUUUUAUAUCCCCAGCCUCCAGUGCCAUGGCUGGCAUGUAGAAAGCAUGUGACAAACAUUUACUGAAUAAUAAAUGUGGGACUGCCUGUGAGAUGAAUGAAGCAGACUAUUCCUGAGUAGUUAAUGAAUGAUGCUGAGAAGAUCCUGAUUCCAGUGGCUCUUUAUUAAAAUAUAAUGUUAAGUAAAAUGACUAGUUUUAUGUUAUCAAUGUCUAUUGCUAGGUUCUGUUUUUAUAUAUGUGAAAGCAUCAUUAUUAUUGCUUUCUUGUUUUUUUCUCUUGUUGUUGCUGCUGCUGAAUCCUCACCAGGAAGGAAUUAAGAUCUCAUUUCCUCAAUGAAGCCCAGAAAGAAAAGACUCUUCAUUAUCCCCAUAUUCUGGUAAUUUCAUCUUUGACACUGUAUUUGACACGAAGAAAGUGUCCUUGACACAAAGAAAGAAACUUGUUUAAGAUUUUCUGCUGAAGAGAGGUACAAAGGAAUUGAAAGCCAACUAAGGUGUGCAUAAACAUUGAAAAAUCUGCUUCAACUUCAAAUGUGCAAACUGCUGGAGAAGCUACAACAUUAUAUUUUGCAUGCUUAUUCUUUAAAAUAUACUCGACAUUGCUGUAUAGAUUAUACAUUUAUCCAUAACAUUGUAUAAUUCAGCGUUACCCAUCUAGAACAAAUAUAUCCUUUAUCUUAUGCAAUCAUGAUUUAAGAGAUUGUCACUGUGAUUCUUGUGACUUUUCCACAGUUGUUGAUUCUGUAAAGCCCUCAGAUAAAUUGCAACUUACCAUGUGUAUGUAUGAAGGUAGUUCUCCCCAUGACUUCAUUAUGUAAGAAUCAGCUAUAGCUCCUUUCUGACUUUAAAGAAAGCAAGAAGUUUUGAGCAUAAAAUUUUCAGUUGGUUAUAAAAAUAAUUUUUAAAAAUUGUGAAAGUAAUAGGAUAUUUUAGAAAAUUGAGGACAUAGAGAAAGAAAAAAAUACCACUCUAAUAAGUAAUGUUUUACCAUUUUCAAAAUAGUUCUUCCUGUUCUUUGUUGGAGCCUCUGAAGGGACUCCAUGUACAGAAACACCCCUCCCCACUUGGUUCUGAUCAAGUUAAUAAACUAAAACAAAAAAUAAGGCAGAGGAGGUCCAAAAAUUUUCUUUACUGUUGGGAUAAGGGCUCUUGGUCUGCCAUAUGGGUUGCUAAUAUUGAAUAUUGAUUGAACAUUGAAUAUUGCUAACAUUGAAUGUGCCAGCAACACUAGUGCAGUAGGCCUCUCUUUGAAGGGUCAGACUCUUGGAAUAUCAGAGGAAUGUGAGUUCCCUGAAG